rnacentral:rRNA from 1 species
UACGAAGGGUGCAAACGUUGCUCGGAAUUAUUGGGCGUAAAGCGCACGUAGGCGGCUUUGCAAGUCGGAUGUGAAAUCCCUCGGCUCAACCAAGGAAGUGCAUCCGAAACUGCAGAGCUUGAGUACUUAAGAGGAUCGCGGAAUUCCUGGUGUAGCGGUGGAAUGCGCAGAUAUCAGGAGGAACACCAAUAGCGAAGGCAGCUCGCUGGGACGGUACUGACGCUAAGGCGCGAAAGCGUGGGGAGCGAACAGG